ACUACAUGUACAGGAUAGGUGGGAGGCUUUGAAACCAGGACGCCAGUUUUGGCGGAGCCAUCCUUGGGAUACCACCCUUGUAGUACUGGGACUCUAACCAUAGGCCAUGAAUCUGGUCUUGGGACACUGUCAGGUGGGCAGUUUGACUGGGGCGGUCGCCUCCCAAAAGGUAACGGAGGCGCUCAAAGGUUCUCUCAGUACGGUCGGAAAUCGUACGUAGAGUGUAAAGGCAAAAGAGGGCUUGAUUGCAAGACAUACAGGUCGAGCAAGGAUGAAAAUCGGACUUAGUGAUCCGGUGGUUCUGCGUGGAAGGGCCAUCGCUCAACGGAUAAAAGCUACCCUGGGGAUAACAGGCUUAUCUCCCCC
rnacentral:rRNA from 1 species